rnacentral:rRNA from 1 species
GACGAACGCUGGCGGCGUGCCUAACACAUGCAAGUCGAACGGGGUUGAGCCCUUCGGGACUCAACUUAGUGGCGAACGGGUGAGUAACGCGUGAGAAACCUACCUUUCAGUGGGGGACAACAGUUGGAAACGACUGCUAAUACCGCAUGAUGUAUCGAGGGGGCAUCCUUUUGAUACCAAAGCUUAAUGUGCUGAAAGAUGGUCUCGCGUCUGAUUAGCUAGUUGGUGGGGUAACGGCUCACCAAGGCGACGAUCGAGUAGCCGGUCUGAGAGGAUGAACGGCCACAUUGGGACUGAGAUACGGCCCAGACUCCUACGGGAGGCAGCAGUGGGGAAUAUUGGGCAAUGGGGGAAACCCUGACCCAGCAACGCCGCGUGAAGGAAGAAGGCCUUCGGGUUGUAACUUACUUUUAGUUAGGGACGGAAGAACGUGACGGUACCUACAGAAAAGACAACGGACUAACUACGUAG